ACGGUACGUUGCGGCAGGGGGUAUGCGAGUGUCCGAGCCGGGGAUACCCGUAUAAGCCGUCUGCCGGCACAGAAGAAG
rnacentral:pre_miRNA from 1 species